rnacentral:rRNA from 1 species
UACAGAGGUCUCAAGCGUUGUUCGGAUUCAUUGGGCGUAAAGGGUGCGUAGGCGGUCGCGGUAAGUCGGGUGUGAAAUCUUGGAGCUUAACUCCGAAACUGCAUUCGAUACUGCCGUGCUUGAGGACUGGAGAGGAGACUGGAAUUUACGGUGUAGCGGUGAAAUGCGUAGAUAUCGUAAGGAAGACCAGUGGCGAAGGCGGGUCUCUGGACAGUUCCUGACGCUGAGGCGCGAAAGCGUGGGGAGCAAACAGG